rnacentral:sRNA from 1 species
GGAAGGAUCAUUAUUGAAUGAACUUGGUGUGGUUGUUGCUGGCCCUCUUGGGGGCAUGUGCACACCCGCCAUCCUCAUCUCUCCACCUGUGCACCUCUUGUAGACCUGGAUAGACUUUCUGAGGCAACUCGGUCGGGAAGAUUGCUGCGCUCUGUGAGCCAGCUUUCUUUGCAUGUCCAGGCCUAUGUUUUUCAUAUACCCCUAUAGAAUGUAACAGAAUGUAUCAUUGGGCCUUGUGCCUAUAAACCUUAUACAACUUUCAGCAACGGAUCUCUUGGCUCUCGCAUCGAUGAAGAACGCAGCGAAAUGCGAUAAGUAAUGUGAAUUGCAGAAUUCAGUGAAUCAUCGAAUCUUUGAACGCACCUUGCGCUCCUUGGUAUUCCGAGGAGCAUGCCUGUUUGAGUGUCAUUAAAUUCUCAACCUUAUUAACUUUUGUUGAUAAUGGAUUGGAUGUGGGGGUUUCUUUUGCUGGCUUCUUCACAGAUAUCAGCUCCCCUUAAAUGCAUUAGCUGGUGCCCCGCGUGGACCAUCUAUUGGUGUGAUAAUUAUCUACGCCGUGGAUGUCUGCAAUCAUAUGGGUUUUGCACUGCUUCUAACCG